rnacentral:rRNA from 1 species
AGUGAACGCUGGCGGUAGGCCUAACACAUGCAAGUCGAACGGCAGCACAGUAAGAGCUUGCUCUUACGGGUGGCGAGUGGCGGACGGGUGAGGAAUACAUCGGAAUCUACUUUUUCGUGGGGGAUAACGUAGGGAAACUUACGCUAAUACCGCAUACGACCUACGGGUGAAAGCAGGGGAUCUUCGGACCUUGCGCGAUUGAAUGAGCCGAUGUCGGAUUAGCUAGUUGGCGGGGUAAAGGCCCACCAAGUCGACGAUCCGUAGCUGGUCUGAGAGGAUGAUAAGCCACACUGGAACUGAGACACGGUCCAGACUACUACGGGAGGCAGCAGUGGGGAAUAUUGGACAAUGGGCGCAAGCCUGAUCCAGCCAUACCGCGUGGGUGAAGAAGGCCUUCGGGUUGUAAAGCCCUUUUGUUGGGAAAGAAAAGCAGCAGGUUAAUACCACGCUGUUCUGACGGUACCCAAAGAAUAAGCACCGGCUAACUUCGUG